CUCAGUUCGGAUCGGAGUCUGCAACCCGACUCCGUGAAGCUGGAUUCGCUAGUAAUCGCGCAUCAGCCAUGGCGCGGUGAAUACGUUCCCGGGCCUUGUACACACCGCCCGUCAAGCCAUGGGAGCCGGGGGCGCCUGAAGUCCGGGACCGCGAGGACCGGCCUAGGGCGAAACUGGUAACUGGGGCUAAGUCGUAACAAGGUACC
rnacentral:rRNA from 1 species